rnacentral:tRNA from 1 species
CAGGGAGACAACAACUGAUCGUGAUGUCUGAGUUAUUGAUACUUAGGCCAUGAUCCUGUCACCUUAGGUCGAUCGGUACCUCAAAUUGAGCAUCAAAGAAGGGUUGAGAAAUCAGCUUGGAGAUUGAUAAUUAAUUUCAGUUCCUAAACUUGUCUAGGUCACAUCCCGCAAGGCUCUCUCCUGGGCCAUUAGCUCAGGUGGUUAGAGCGCACCCCUGAUAAGGGUGAGGUCCCUGGUUCAAGUCCAGGAUGGCCCAUUCGGUGUUGGGGGUAUAGCUCAGUUGGUAGAGCGCCUGCUUUGCAAGCAGGAUGUCAGCGGUUCGAGUCCGCUUACCUCCACUGAUAACCACCUCUUCCAUAUCUGUAAAAGGAAAUUUUUUGAGUUGUGAUCAAAUUCUGAACGAAUCUAGCUUCCUAAUGAAAUCAUUAAGAUGCUGGACUCAUUGAAUUAAAUUCAUUGUUUUCAGAGAACCUUGACAACUGCAUAGAUUAUUUUUAAAGACAAUAAGCAUCUUUAAUGAUGCAGAUUUAUUAUUUGUGCGAAUGCAUUAAUAACAAUUCUAUUAAGCUGAUGCUUCAAUUUUUGAAGUUAUU